CCUUUGGAGACCUGGCUUGGUAGGUAGCCAGAACCGGAAGGCACCCGUUUGGUGCGUUGAUGUUCCGUUUCUCUUCCUCUCAUUCUGAUCACGCGGAUGCCCGGCGGGCGGGUGGCACGUUGCCAUGCGUACGCGUGGCAGCACAGUAUCUUAAAAACAAUGGCGUGCUUUCGCGAGAGUUCGCAACCAUCUCCGCCUUCUCGUCUUCCGUCUAAAAAGCACCGGUCUCCUUCCUGUCCUGAGCACACCACCACGCCACAACACCAAAGAGGAAGCGUACGAGGGAGAGGCGCUCGGCUCGCCUGCGUCUGUCUCCGCUUCUCGCGAGCCCGGCGUCACCCGCCGCCGGGCACGCACCACGCCCACGCCCACGCCCACGCAGGUAUAGGUGAAGGCUGACCUGCAAACACUACUAGUCAAGAUGGUGGUGGAGGGAUACGAAACGGACAAGAACAUCGAGAUAUGGAAGGUGAAGAAGCUGAUCAAGGGGCUGGACGCGGCGAGGGGCAACGGCACGAGCAUGAUCUCGCUCAUCAUGCCGCCGCGCGACCAGGUCUCCCGGGUGGCCAAGAUGCUGGGCGACGAGUACGGGACCGCCUCCAACAUCAAGAGCCGGGUGAACCGCCAGUCCGUGCUGGCCGCCAUAACCUCUGCCCAGCAGAGGCUCAAGCUCUACAACCGGGUGCCCCCCAACGGCCUCGUGCUCUACACCGGCACCGUCGUCACCGACGACGGCAAGGAGAAGAAGGUCACCUUCGACUUCGAGCCCUUCCGGCCCAUCAACGCGUCGCUCUACCUCUGCGACAACAAGUUCCACACCGAGGCGCUGAACGAGCUCCUCGAGUCCGACGACAAGUUCGGCUUCAUCAUCAUGGACGGCAACGGCACGCUCUACGGCACGCUGAGCGGCAACAGCAGGGAGGUCGUGUACAAGUUCAGCGUGGACCUGCCCAAGAAGCACGGGCGGGGAGGGCAGUCCGCGCUCCGCUUCGCGCGCCUGCGCAUGGAGAAGCGGCACAACUACCUGCGCAAGGCGGCCGAGCUCGCCACGCACUUCUUCAUCAACCCUGCCACCAACCAGCCCAACGUCGUCGGGCUCAUCCUGGCCGGCUCCGCCGAUUUCAAGACCGAGCUGGGCAAGUCCGAGAUGUUCGAUCAGCGGCUGCAGGCCAAGAUAAUCAAGUCGGUCGACGUGUCGUACGGCGGCGAGAGCGGCUUCAACCAGGCCAUUGAGAUGUCUGUGGAGGUCCUCUCCGAGGUCAAGUUCGUCCAGGAGAAGAAGCUCCUUGGGAAGUACUUCGAGGAGAUAAGCCAGGACACCGGGAAGUACGUCCUCGGCGUGCAGGACACCAUGGCGGCCCUCGAGAUGGGCGCGGUCCACACGCUGAUCGUGUGGGAGAACCUCGACGUCAGGCGGUACGAGCUGAAGAACUCCGCCACGGGGGAGACGAUGGUGAAGUACCUCAACGGCGGCCAGGAGGCGGACCAGAGCAACUUCGUCGACGAGGCGACGUGCGGGGAGCUGGAUGUUGUUGACAGGGUGCUGCUGCUGGAGUGGUUCGCCGAGAACUACCAGCAGUACGGCUGCAAGCUGGAGUUCGUCACCAACAGGUCCCAGGAAGGAUCGCAGUUCUGCCGGGGCUUCGGCGGCAUCGGCGGGAUCCUCCGCUACCCGGCGGACGUCGCCGCCUACGACGACGAAGACGACAUGCUGGAUGACGACGUCUAUGAAGGCCUCGAAUAGCAAUCAACUGAAGCUUCAGUGCACACGGUCCGGGAGGAGCCUGCGCUGGCCCCGACCGCGCCGGGACGAGACCCUGAAACAUCCAAACGAUCGGUGCAAGGAAAACAAGGAGGUGGGACAGAACAGAGGAUCUAAGCAAUUACAGUCCGGAUCUUGAGCAAGGCACAAUGAUGGCGUUGAUGCUUUGGAGUUGAAGGUCGCUUCCUCUCUGGAUCCAUCCCUGGAAAUUUGGUGAUGCUACUAAGCAGCCGUGGCUGCCUUCUCUUGCUGCAUCAGAGAAUGCUUAUUAGAGUCGUAUUAGUUGCGAGUGAGUCACAGACUCCCAGUGGUGUUCCUGAGUCGCCUUAUUAUGAGCUUAUGCUACUACAACAACUGCUUGAAAUAAUGUUGUAUAUGUAUUGUGUUCGAUUUUAUAUGUGAGAUUUAUUGCUAUGGUAAGACUCGAGACCUGUACAUGUGGUACUUAAGGCAUUUCUAACCAAUCCC
rnacentral:rRNA from 1 species